rnacentral:rRNA from 1 species
AAUCAACGCUGGCGGCGUGCCUAACACAUGCAAGUCGAACGAGAACGGCGCCUUCGGGUGUUUAGUAGAGUGGCGAACGGGUGAGUAACGCGUGGGUGAUCUGCCCUCAAGUGGGGGAUAACUUCGCGAAAGCGGAGCUAAUACCGCAUGAGCCCUGCGGGGAAAGGUUCUUCGGAAUCGCUUGAGGAGGAGCCCGCGUCCGAUUAGCUGGUUGGUGGGUAAGAGCCUACCAAGGCGACGAUCGGUAGCCGGUCUGAGAGGACGGACGGCCACACUGGAACUGAGACACGGCCCAGACUCCUACGGGAGGCAGCAGUGGGGAAUAUUGCGCAAUGGGCGGAAGCCUGACGCAGCGACGCCGUGUGGGGGAUGAAGGCCUUCGGGUUGUAAACCUCUGUCACCAUUGGCGAAGGCGGCCUUUUUUGGGUUGUUGACGGUAGGUGGUGAGGAAGCGCCGGCUAACUACGUG